CCACCAUUCCCAAUCCCACAUUCCCCCAGGAUCAGAUGCAGGUGGAGGUGCAGGAGCUGGAGGGGGAUUUCGAGGCCCUGCUUUUCCCAUCAUUCCCACCAUUCCCAACCCCUGUAACUCCCCCAGGAUCAGAUGCAGGUGGAGGUGCAGGAGCUGGAGGGGGAUUUCGAGGCCCUGCACCGGUUCCUGGCGGGGGAGCAGGUCCAGCUGCUGCGGCAGCUCCGGGAGCGCCACGAGGCCCUGCUGGGGCGGCAGCGCCGGAAUUUGGGGAUGCUGGAGGAGAGGACGGCGGCCCUCAGGAGGCUCAUCGGGGAGGCCGAGGCUGCUGCCAGGCAGGACGGGCUCCAGAUGCUCAAGGUGGGAGCACUGGGAGAACUGGGAACACUGGGAAUACUGGGAUUGGGGGCUCAAGGUGGGCUGGGAGCACUGGGAAUGCUGGAGGAGAGGAUGGUGGCUCUGGGGAGGUUCACUGGGGAGGCCGAGGCUGCUGCCAGGCAGGACGGGCUCCAGCUGCUCAAGGUGGGGAUGCUGGGAGCACUGGGAGCACUGGGAAUGCUGGGAUUGGGGGCUGGGAGCACUGGGAGCACUGGGAAUGCUGGAGGAGAGGAUGGUGGCUCUCAGGAGGCUCAUCGGGGAGGCUGAGGCUGCUGCCAGGCAGGACGGGCUCCAGCUGCUCAAGGUGGGAGCGCUGGGAGAACUGGGAACACUGGGAUUACUGGGAACACUGGGAUUGGGGGCUGGGAGCACUGGGAGCACUGGGAAUGCUGGAGGAGAGGAUGGUGGCCCUCAGGAGGCUCAUCGGGGAGGCCGAGGCUGCUGCCAGGCAGGACGGGCUCCAGCUGCUCAAGGUGGGGAUGCUGGGAGCACUGGGAAUACUGGGAACACUGGGAUUGGGGGCUGGGAGCACUGGGAGCACUGGGAAUGCUGGAGGAGACGAUGGUGGCUCUCAGGAGGCUCAUCGGGGAGGCCGAGGCUGCUGCCAGGCAGGACGGGCUCCAGCUGCUCAAGGACAUCAAAAGCACCUUCAUCAGGUCAGUCCUUCCCUUCCCACUGGAAUCUCCUGGGAUUUUGGGGAUGGGGGGGGGGGAAAAUCCCACCCUGGGGGGGCUUUUCCAGCCUGGAACUGCCGGGAAUUCCUAAGGGGAAAUUCCACAGAUGGAAUUUUGGGAUGGUUGGGGAAGGCUGGGAAGGGGCCUGGGAGCCCCUCCAGGUCUCAUCAUCUCCUCCCAAACAGCCAAAUCCUAAUUUUUCCCCACUUUUCCCUCCUUUUCCCCUCCUUUUUCCCCCUUUUCCCCUCCUUUUUCCCCCUUUUUCCCUCCUUUUCCCCCCUUUUUCCUCCUUUUUUCCUCCUUUUUCCCUCCUUUUCCCCCCCUUUUCCCUCCUUUUUCCUCCCUUUUUCCCUCCUUUUCCCCCCUUUUCCAGGUGUGAGACCAUCGAAUUCCAGGAGCCCGAGAUGGUGCCCGUGGACGUGGGGAAGAAAUUCCGGAAUUGUUUCCUGCAGGACGUGGUGCUGAGGAAGAUGGAAAAGGUCUUCAGCAAAGUGCCCCAAGGUGGGGAAAUUGGGGUUAAAAGGGGUGGAAAUUUGAGGGUAAAAAGGUGAAAAUUUGGGGUUAAAAAGGGUGAAAAUUUGGGGUUAAAAGGGGUGAAAAUUUGGGGUUAAAAUUUGGGGUUAAAGGGGUGAAAAUUUGGGGUUAAAAGGGUG
rnacentral:lncRNA from 1 species